GAUUCAUAGGAUCAUGCAUGCUGUGAGAUCUUUACUUAAAGACAAAGAAAGCUGUACAUAUAUGUAUGCAAUCAACACGUGCCUCCCACUGGAGCCAAACACUGAGGUCUGGACAUGACCCCCACUAGAUGAAGUGGACUGAAGUCUAAAUGUCUUCAUCUGUGUUCUUAGCACCACAAAAGCCAUCCUCCGGAUUCUUAUGCAAACCUCAGAAGAGGAGAAAACCCCCAUGCUAGAUGAGGUUGAAUUUCCUGCCUUCAACCCAUCAAACCAUGCAGGAUGAGGAGGGCUCAGUCAGAACUAAGACCACAUAUUAAAAUUUUAACGUGAUUUUCUGACCCAGUCAAAUUUAUGAGGUAAGGUUCAUACUAGCUACCUUCUUUUCAUAAUAAAGUCUGAACAAUAUAAAUCGUACUACUUAGAGAAGACAGAGAUGUAAUAGGUCAUUCUUCAGAAACGCAAA